CGGAAAGAAAGUCACCUUUAUUUGAUGGAUAUAAACAAGCUGGCCGACACUCAAUAGUAAUAUUCUGAUACAGCACAUACAAUAGCAAACAGGGGCACUGAGGACAGCCUCCUAUUGUUUAAAAAACAAAAAACAUUACAGAGUAUCCAUGCUUCAUUCAAAAUGUACUCAAUCUCACAGUUUUUUUUCUCUAGGGACUCUCUGAUAAAGUUUUUUUAAAUAGAAUUUUCUCUUGUGCAUUCAUAACACACACACACACACACACACACACACACACACACACACACACACACACACACACACACACACACACACACACACACACACACACACACACACACACACACUUGCACGGACUCGUUAAAUAAAUGCAGUUAUGCACACACACACACGCACUCACAUAUCUCUCUUUUCUGAAUACAUUUACACCAGCAACCCCAAAAACAUGCUGCACUCUCACAAAACUGCACAGGCUGUCUACUAGGGGGACACAGUAAGUGAGACACACAUCACUCUCAAACACAACAUCACACCGUCACAAUGCACGAUGCAGAUGCAAUUAAUGAAUGAGGAAUGGUGCUUCAUGGGAGAUUAGCUCACGUUCACACAAAUAAUCAUUCAGCAUGCUGGACACACAUUUAAUUUGAUCCUAGGUCUUUACUGUACAGCUCAAAACAUUUACUUAUACAAAUAGUACAGUCUCAAACUGGCAUAUUCAAUAAGCUGAAACAAUAGAAAAAAUAAAGCUAACUUAAAUACAAAAAUGAAUAAUAAAAAAGUAAACGCAGUGUUUGCUCUGUCAAACAAAAAGGUUUCUGGCAUUGGUCACAGUGAUUUGUUUGAUCCAAAGUUUUCAGCGACACACAGUAAAAGAAAAACAGCCUGGUUACAACAAUAAAGUGAAAAUGUAUGUUAGGCUUUUCAUAAUUUUUUCUGAAGGCCUUUUGAAAAUUACUGGUGAAUCUACAGGCUUUUCAAGUCUUUCUACACAGCUGCUUCUAGGCACAGAUGAAGCCUCGCCUUCUGGACUCACAGCUCACCGUGUGCAAUGUCAGUUGCUCACAACCAGGAUUAGUCUUUAGUCUAAGCCCAGGAAACCAGCCCCAGCCUCUAAGCCUUGGUGUCUCCAAAACCUUAUUUUGACACAACGGUAGAGAAAUCGCUCUGCAUAGAGAACAGGAGAUUAUCCUUACAAUAUCACUUUCAGUUGGCACAUUAUGCAAAAAUCAGCAUGCAUGGGCACAAUUAAAAUGUUCCAUGUUGUCUACCAUGUAAAUCAUAUGCGCUAUUUCAUGGUAGGAGACCCUACUUCAAGUAUUCAGUAGAUAAGGACCUGAAAAUGGAGGAUUCAUACUCCAUCCCCCCUGAUGAUGAAGUGACAGGAUUUUUGAUCCUCUGUCUGUUUGCAUUGUCUUCCCUUUAAAAAAAAAAAUCAAAAUCAGGACCUUUAUCUGAUCAACUGUAAACACAAACAGCAAAGUUUCACACAAUCUCUUAAUUCUUGAUCAGUGACAGGAGCUGUGAAGAUUCACGUGGGAAGCAGACACAUAAAAGAUGAUGCAUGGAUCACCUCGGUUUGUGGAAGAUGGGCGGAUGGAAAGACGUUUAUAUACAACAACCAACACUUGGCCAUACAAGGGAGAGACACACAGGCACCAUGAUGGGAGGGAGAGGAAGUGGGAAAAGUAACAGUCUACUUCAUUUUUCCACUAUACUGCAACAAUGUGUGUUGUUUUUUUUCUACUUAGUUAGCUGUCACGGUCACAUACAUCACCACUUCUGUUCACGAGACGACAACGACGACAAACACGCCAAAGAAAUGCACCCAGACAGAGUCACUCAAACCUCCACUCGGAUGUUAAUCGUGAUAGUCCUCACUCACAAGUGCAAGCUUCUGACUGCUGAGUGCAGCAGACAUAAUCUCAUUGCUACCUGUGUGAGCUGCAAAAUUUAAAAGAAAAAAAAAAGUUAUUUAAAGUUGUUACCACAGGCCAAGUGGUCUUCAACUGAGUUGUUUUCACAUUAAGGAAUGUAAACGUCGUCUGUUUCUAGACUUCUAGAUAGAUUUGGAUACACUUCACUUUAUUUCCCAUAAACUGCUCUAAAGCUCUUGUUUGUUUUUUGGGCUGUCCUGUAAUUUCAGACAGGGAAUGUUAACUCUGCUGCGGUUUAUUUUUUUCUCACUAAGUACAAAUCAGAGGAAAAUCACACCACUCAACGCUUUGAAUAAGACAUCUCUCUGACCUCCAGCCAGUUAGAAAAAUAACCAUGAAGAAAAAACAUAUAGUAUCUUGUCAGUUUGAAACGAUUUUCUGACCACGUAUAGACACACUCUAUAGAUUUCUCUCUAUAUGUAUAAUAUAUGCAUAUCUAUCAUAUGUGUACAGUUUUUACGAGGCACAGGCCACCUUGUUGAGAAGGAGAAAACAAGUCACUAUGUUCGGGGAGGUCACACAGACUACUGCUGGAAGAGUACAGGGAAGAGGGGAGCAGGAUCAUACUGUAGGUCAGAGCCUGGGGGUGUCAGUGGUACAAAUAGACCUGCAAGGAGAACAUCUACUGGACACUGUCUUCACUUUGUAGUCUAUAACGAUGCUCAUAGAAGCAGUAUUUCUGUGUGUGAGGGACUUGAAGUGAUCACCGCUCACAAAAAGCCCCCAUGUUUUUAAAUCGUAUGUACAAAGCAGUUUUUCAUUGUUGUUUAUGAAGCCCAUUGUGGGAUCAAGUGCCCUCUACUGUAAAAGGGCUAAAAGAUGCUCUUGACCAGGUCUUCUGACACCGUUUAGUUUGAGCACCAGCAGAAGCACCAUUAGUAAAAAUUCCUGCAACACAGAGGAGGUGCAUAGGUGCAUAGUCUCGGAAAAUGAAAGUAAUCUGAUGAAUAUUCUCUGACCACUCUCUUGGCCGCUCUGAUUGGAUGGUUAAUUACAGUUUGAUUUGAUUGAAGUGAUGACAGGAAAUAAAAAUGUACUCACUCUAUGUUGACAUCUGCAUAGAUUAAUUCUUUUUUUUUUUGACUACUUCUGAUUAAAAUGAGGUAACAUGAGGAGAUGACAGCCACAGCCUGAAGGCUCACACAAGCCCAAGAACUGGAGGGCGCUGCUCAUGCAGCCAAGGAAGCCCUCGAUGCUGCAGGCAAGGCUCAAGGCGUACUAUCAGUCAGCUCAAAGCUCUUCCUUUUGCCGACAAGAAAUGACACUAGAAAAACCUAAACUCGCUCAAAUCUGGUGUGUGGAACAUGCUAGUAAAGGUUCACAACAUCACACUUAGAAAUGCUGAGUGGUGGGUGAGGCAUGUACAAAGGUAAAAAAAGAGGUCACUGUGUGCCACAAAGAGUAAAUCUAGCUCAUCGACACAAUCAGAUGGUUUUAACGACAGAAGAGGCUCUUCACACUGAAGGAUGAGGGGGGUCAUGACAGCCAGGUAGAGGGGUCAGAUGUCACCAGAUGGGUGAGAAGGGCAGUGAGGAUCGAUAAACCAUGACCAUGAGUCAGGCGGAGGAGCCAACCAGAGCCAGAGGAGUCAGUCAGGCAGGUGAAACAGUCAGCGAGACAACCAUGAUCUUGAAAAGGAAGAGGGAUGAAGUACAAAAUACUGGGCUGCCAGACAAGGAUCUUCUGCUGGGAGGAUCAAGAGGGCGACGUUGGCCUGUAUGGGCGGAUCGCUCGGCAGGUGACGGACAGGUGAGUUGACCUCUGUGAGACCUCCGAUGCGGAGUGGCUGCCAUGAUGAUUGCACACCCGUCCAAGCCGCAAUUUGACACACAGAACAUGUGUCUCUCCACCGACAUCAAUCCGUCUCUUUCCUUCCACUUGGCUGUGUAGCUGUAAUUGUGCGUGAAGGUAGUGGAGCGUUCACACAAAGAAGAAGGUCCCACAUCACCUGGAGCAGAACAGGAGACUGUCUAAGUUGCAGAUUGGAAACGUAGUAACGUCAUAUUUUCUCUUUGUUUGACAUGACACACUGCAGCGUAUGUGUCCAGGUAAAUGUGUGAAAGUACCUGCACAACUGUCGGUCUCCAUGCGUGACCUGCACACCUGAGUGCCCCCUUUUCUUCCCCGGAGAAAAAAACAAAACAAAAAACAAAGGUCCCAUUGCUGAAUAUUGAUUGAGUAGAGAUAAUAAAUGUUUGUCGGGUAGUGUUUCAACAUCAUGGCAUGGUUGUGCUCCUCCAGUAGUGACUGAAUCAUC
ensembl:lncRNA